rnacentral:rRNA from 1 species
UACGGAGGAUCCAAGCGUUUAUCCGGAAUCAUUGGGUUUAAAGGGUCCGUAGGCGGUUUGGUAAGUCAGUGGUGAAAGCCCAUCGCUCAACGGUGGAACGGCCAUUGAUACUGCUAGACUUGAAUUAUUAGGAAGUAACUAGAAUAUGUAGUGUAGCGGUGAAAUGCUUAGAGAUUACAUGGAAUACCAAUUGCGAAGGCAGGUUACUACUAAUGGAUUGACGCUGAUGGACGAAAGCGUGGGUAGCGAACAGG